AACGCAAAUUGCACUCUCUGGCAACCCGGGGAGUAUGCCUGUUUGAGGGUCAGUGUUAAUAAAAAUCGGUGCGUCGCAAUUUUUUUGUGAUGUUUCCGGAGUUUGAGUUAUCUUAACUCUUCUGGGUUUUUUAAGAGGCUUAAAAUUGACCUUUUUUGUGCAUUUUAGACGUACAUAAAUUUUUUUUUUAUUCGUCUAUCUUAAUGCCAAAAUCUAUUAGAUGCGACCAUAUCAUGUGGUUUCGUGUCUAUAAAUUUUUCAUGAUUUGACCUCAAAUCAGGUAGGAACACCCGCUGAACUUAA
rnacentral:misc_RNA from 1 species